AGAAAAUCCCGGACCAAGCUAACCCUUUCAGCUGCACUAGAAGCUAUAAGAAACAUGGAGCAGUAAGGGACAGGAAGUGCAUGGAACAAGAGCUGUGGGGGACUAGGGUAGGAAUUUGUAAACCAAACCAGACCAGAGCACGGGAAACUGGACAAUCCACCCUGGUCCCCACCGUGAAGAUUGGCCUUCGAUCUGCAGUCGCCUGAUCCACGGUCCCGGAUAAGCCCCCCCCUCAUGUGCGGAGCACGAUCUGGUUUCAUGUUUAAAAGUUGAGUAAAGCCUCCAGUAAGGAAGACCAGACGGUGCGGGUCAUAAAUGACCAAGUCAAGGAAAGAGUCAGCCGGCUACGAUCGCCUACGAUAACCGUAUCCAUUAACAGAAGACCAGGCAAUGGUUAACACGUCCUCCGUGAAUAGUUCUCAAAACAGGCUGGAAUUUCAAUUGAAAGCUG